GAUAAACGCUGGCGGCGCACAUAAGACAUGCAAGUCGAACGACUAACGGUCAGUUCUUUACGAUUGAGAGCGGUUAGUGGCGGACUGGUGAGUAACACGUAAGCAAUCUGCCUAUCAGAGGGGAAUAACAGUGAGAAAUCAUUGCUAAUACCGCAUAUGCUAACAGUAUCGCAUGAUACAGUUAGGAAAGGAGCAAUCCGCUGAUAGAUGAGCUUGCGCCUGAUUAGAUAGUUGGUGGGGUAACGGCCUACCAAGUCGACGAUCAGUAGCCGGACUGAGAGGUUGAACGGCCACAUUGGGACUGAGNUACGGCCCAGACUCCUACGGGAGGCAGCAGUCGGAAUAUUGCGCAAUGGAGGAAACUCUGACGCAGUGACGCCGCGUAUAGG
rnacentral:rRNA from 1 species